AUAUGAAGGCGGGCUGGAACCUCUCGGGGUUACAGCCUUGCUGAAUUAUUCACCCUUGUCUUUUGCGUACUUCUUGUUUCCUUGGUGGGUUCGCCCACCACUAGGACAAACAUAAACCUUUUGUAAUUGCAAUCAGCGUCAGUAACAAAUUAAUAAUUACAACUUUCAACAACGGAUCUCUUGGUUCUGGCAUCGAUGAAGAACGCAGCGAAAUGCGAUAAGUAGUGUGAAUUGCAGAAUUCAGUGAAUCAUCGAAUCUUUGAACGCACAUUGCGCCCUUUGGUAUUCCAAAGGGCAUGCCUGUUCGAGCGUCAUUUGUACCCUCAAGCUUUGCUUGGUGUUGGGCGUCUUGUCUCUAGCUUUGCUGGAGACUCGCCUUAAAGUAAUUGGCAGCCGGCCUACUGGUUUCGGAGCGCAGCACAAGUCGCACUCUCUAUCAGCAAAGGUCUAGCAUCCAUUAAGCCUUUUUUUCAACUUUUGACCUCGGAUCAGGUAGGGAUACCCGCUGAACUUAAGCAUAUCA
rnacentral:rRNA from 1 species